rnacentral:rRNA from 1 species
UUAUGACCUGGGCUACNCACGUGCUACAAUGGGAAGUACAACGAGUUGCGAAGUCGCGAGGCUAAGCUAAUCUCUUAAAGCUUCUCUCAGUUCGGAUUGCAGGCUGCAACUCGCCUGCAUGAAGCCGGAAUCGCUAGUAAUCGCGGAUCAGCAUGCCGCGGUGAAUACGUUCCCGGGCCUUGUACACACCGCCCGUCACACCACGAGAGUUUGUAACACCCGAAGUCGGUGAGGUAACCUUUUGGAGCCAGCCGCCUAAGGUGGGAUAGAUGAUUGGGGUGAAGUCGUAACAAGGUAGCCGUAUCGGAAGGUGCGGUUGGAUCACCUCCUUA